rnacentral:rRNA from 1 species
UACGUAGGGGGCAAGCGUUGUCCGGAUUUAUUGGGCGUAAAGAGCGUGUAGGCGGCCAAGCAGGUCAGCUGUGAAAACUCGAGGCUCAACCUCGAGACGUCGGUUGAAACCGCUUGGCUAGAGUCCGGAAGAGGAGAGUGGAAUUCCCGGUGUAGCGGUGAAAUGCGCAGAUAUCGGGAAGAACACCCGUGGCGAAGGCGGCUCUCUGGGACGGUACUGACGCUGAGACGCGAGAGCGUGGGGAGCAAACAGG